GACGAACCGUGCGAACGUUGUUCGGAAUCACUGGGCUUAAAGGGCGCGUAGGCGGGCUGUCAAGUCUGGGGUGAAAUGCCGCGGCUCAACCGUGGAACUGCCUUAGAUACUGACGGCCUCGAGGAAGGUAGGGGCAUGCGGAACUGUAGGUGGAGCGGUGAAAUGCGUUGAUAUCUACAGGAACUCCGGUGGCGAAGGCGGCGUUUCUGGACUGCAACUGACACUGAUGAACGAAAGCCAGGGGAGCAAACGGG
rnacentral:rRNA from 1 species